AUGACCUUCCCCAGAGAAAUGAUGGGAAUCCGCCCCAUCCUCGCGGGAGGAGCUGCUGCUGCCUGGGAACUGCUCUCCUCCUCCGGCGCUGCCGGAGCAGCCCCGAGUGCUUCAGAGGGCACCAAAAAGGCCGUCCCCGCUCACCCGAUGUGCACGAGGUGCUCCGCAGCUCCACGCACAGCUCGGGGGGUUGAGAGCAGCAGCCCAGGUGUGGGGCUGCAAAGCACUGCGCAGUGCUCUGCAACGACUUGUGCUUGUGUUGUCCCGAUGACCUUAAUUGUUGUCUUGGGUUUUUGUUUAAUCGAACGAAAGGCAAGGCAAGGCAAGAGUUCUCUCGGCUUUUAUCUCAACGGUACGAGGUCGAGAUCUGCUGGAAAAUCACUUGCCAGACCUCUGGAUCUCUGUUUGCACAGAAGUAGCCACUUAUAUUUAUUGCUUUACAUACGGCCACAAUCCAGCAAAUCACUCAAGCAUGCGAAUAACUUUAAGCAUGGAAGUAGUCCCUAUGAGCCCGAGCACCGCAGUCGCACUGAAUACACACACGGAGUGGUGGGCCCGGCCCCAUUCUCGCCUUUCCCAUUCCCCUACACACCGCACAGGACGGGGCUCUGCACAGUGGGUUCUUCUCCCUCCUACUCCCCCCUCCCUUCUUCCCCGCACAAACCUCAGCUGCAGCGGUAUCGAUCCUUGUGUGCUCAUCGAUUCCCGCCCAUGGGGCUGCACAGCACCGCAGUGCAUUGGGAUUUAAAUAUAUAUAUAUCUCUUUUUAUUUUCUUUUUAAUCCAGAGAAAAACACGUAACAACUGGGCACAGCAUGGCCAGGCCGAGGAGUAUAAGGGUCUCGCUGUACUGUGUGUCAGCUCCCGUAAUCCACGUGCAGGCACCCAGAGGUGUGCGGGGUCGGGGUUAGGGCCGCGGGUAGCAUCUGGGGGCAGGGUGGGAGGGAGCAGGGUGGCAGAUAGGUACUCCACCGCACCGGCAAGGCACAAAGCAGAGAGCGCUGAGUGA
rnacentral:lncRNA from 1 species